UCGAUGCCGGUCGGAAGAUGUGCCUGCACACCUGGCUCGGCGCCCAGUGGGGGCACAUGCGGCACCGGGAUGGCCUCGGGCAGGGCGACACCAUGAGGCGCCGGCACACCCAGGGCAGCAGAG
rnacentral:sRNA from 3 species